rnacentral:rRNA from 1 species
UACGUAGGGCGCAAGCGUUGUCCGGAAUUAUUGGGCGUAAAGAGCUCGUAGGCGGUUUGUCGCGUCUGUCGUGAAAGCUUGGGGCUUAACCCCGAGUCUGCGGUGGAUACGGGCAGACUAGAGGUAUGCAGGGGAGAACGGAAUUCCUGGUGUAGCGGUGAAAUGCGCAGAUAUCAGGAGGAACACCGAUGGCGAAGGCAGCUCGCUGGGACGGUACUGACGCUGAGGCGCGAAAGCGUGGGGAGCGAACAGG